ACAUUUCUGAUACAAUUUCUUAUUAAUACUAAUAUUAAUACUAAUAAUUAAUAAUGCUCCAGAGCCAUAAACCCCUCUACAUUUUGUAGUUAUUCUUGUGCUCCACAUUUUCAGCUUCCCUGAGGAAGCACAACUCAUUAAAAACCUUAUUCCCUUUCAUUCAUGGCUACCAAACCUUUCAGCUGCAUUUAUUGAAGCUUCUGCAUUUUUAAACACAUUGAAAUACUGACUCUGCAGUCCAGCCCACAGCUGCUUACAGGAAAACAGCGUUACCUCUGAAGCAGAAAACAAGGCUAAUCUUCUCCAUUUUAACCUCUGUGGAAAAGCCAGAGGCAAGUAGGGUUCUCAAAAAAAAGAGGUCAGAAUCAUCUAUUAUGCCACCAAAAAAGUAUAAAAAUACAUAAAAGAGCAGUUAUUGUAAUACCGGGCAGAGGGAAACAUGAAAACAAUUGCACAGCUCUAAUCCACAUUCUUUUGUCAAUGAUUACCCUCAAAUGGUCCCACGAAAUGAAGCAGAAAAAAACCCUUAGCGGAAUAACCCUCAUUAAGCAACUUAAUUUUCAGAAGCGAGUGAGGGGCUGUCACAAGUGAAUUGUUCUUUGCAUUCCCUCUUGGGACAUUCGCCACCUGUUCAUUCCCCCCUCCUUGGAGGCAGAGGAAGGCUUGGAUCGCUCAGAGAGCGGCAGCCGACUGGUGUUACAGCCUGCAGCCAUGCAGCUCAAGCUGUGAUGCCAUGAACGAGGGCCGUGGGCAGGCCUGGCAGGGACCCCCCGGCAGCAGCACACGGGGAGCUGGCUCUGGAGCUGCAGAAGAGUCACAGACACAGGCCUUGGGGCUGGCUGCCCCACGAGAGCCCCAGCUGGCCCACAGAUCAGGACAUGGCCAGCCGGGCCUCACCGGCUCCAUGGUGCCUUUGGAGCCUCAGGCCUGAGGGAGGCUGACGGGCCUGCACACACGCACACCUCACAAAUCAGCUGCAGCAACAUCAGUUCUUCAGGUGUCUCCUCUCUUCAUUCCCAGGGCCUGCUCUGCUCUGCUCAGCACCUGUUCUAGAGACCACCAUUUAAAGGCUGAUGAGGUUGGAGCCAAAGGCAAGACACAGGCAGGAGCUGAGAAGCCAAUACAGCUGUCAGCUGAUGCAGGAACAGGAAGAGAAUUAUUUUCACAAGCUGGCAUGUUUAGGAGAGAAGCAUUCUUGUCCUCAUCAGAGACAUCAGUGAUCGUGUCCUCGUUGCCUGGAACCCUCUUGGGAAAAAUGAGCAAGAGUUCAGGAAAUCUCGUGUGUAGAUAAGCAGACACCACCAACAACUGAAAAGUAUGGUGGAGACAUAUGAAAGCCCAGUUCUUCUACAGAAGCCCAGCCAACUCCAGGAGCAAUCGAAGAAAUUCCCUGCAGUUAAAAAAGAAAUAGUGAGGCCAUUUCCCAGUGAAGAAUUUUCUCACAUGGAAUUUCUCAUUGGCUCUGGUUGGUGCCCCUAAACAUUAACUUACCCUCGGGCUUGUUCUCACCAGUAAGGUGGAGUGGUAAUUUCUUCAUACCAGGGUAGGUAACAGCACUUGCAUCAAACUUUUAUUCCUAAUACCACCUGUGGUUUAUUCAACCACUCUCAUGGAAAGUAAAAUGGCACUGAUAGCAGGGGAAAAAGUCUCAGUCAUUUUCAGAGUUUAUUGCUGGCUCCAUGUAUGAUGG